GUAGAGGCCGUGAUGUGCAUUACCUACCUAUUAUAUGAGAUCGGAGCCUUCUCUCCUCUCUGAUUAAGCAACGAACCAAUGGAUCCUUCUGAGCCUCUU